rnacentral:rRNA from 1 species
AGCAGCCGCGGUAAUUCCAGCUCCAAUAGCGUAUAUUAAAGUUGUUGCAGUUAAAAAGCUCGUAGUUGAAUUUCGGGGUCAGCAAGUUGGUCGUGCCACUGGUAUGCACUGGCCUUACUGAUUCCUCCUUCUUGAAGAACUGUAAUGCUAUUAAUUUAGUGUUGCAGGGAAGCAGGACUGUUACUUUGAAAAAUUAGAGUGUUUAAAGCAGGCUAACGCUUGAAUACAUUAGCAUGGAAUAAUGAAAUAGGACGUUUGAUCCUAUUUUGUUGGCUUCUAGGAUUGACGUAAUGAUUAAUAGGGAUAGGUUGGGGGCAUUAGUAUUCAAUUGUCAGAGGUGAAAUUCUUGGAUUUAUUGAAGACUAACUACUGCGAAAGCAUUUGCCAAGGAUGUUUUCAUUAAUCAAGAACGAAAGUUAGGGGAUCGAAGACG